rnacentral:telomerase_RNA from 1 species
CUUUCCUGUGUCGGGUCUGCAGGCCACAUCGGUUUGUUUCGAGUGUGGCAGGCGCCAUGGCAGACUUCAAGAGACCAGGUCCUCCACAUUGUGGCCAUCCAUUCAGCGAUGACCUUUCUACCCUAUACCAUAUUCAUUGCUGGUGUUCAGCAAUCCCCCAUGAAGGGAGUUUAUCAGAGUGUUCGCCCUGCUUCGGCACAAGUAAACUCUGAUGAGGAUUGGUGAUGUCUCUGGGUUUGUUAUAGUGUUUGUCUCUCGAACAGUGGAUGCAGUGGCACACUUCCAGGUGGACUCAUUGGGGCAGUAGAGUAUGUGACACUCUUGUAGACAGUCACAUGAAUGGGUCCUACACCAUGCUCUCUACUCAUUCCAGGGACGUCUGGGAUGGGACGAAGCUGCGUUUUUUA